GAUGAACGCUGGCGGCGUGCCUAAUACAUGCAAGUCGAGCGAACAGAUGAGGAGCUUGCUCCUCUGCCGUUAGCGGCGGACGGGUGAGUAACACGUGGAUAACCUACCUAUAAGACUGGGAUAACUUCGGGAAACCGGAGCUAAUACCGGAUAAUAUAUUGAACCGCAUGGAUCAAUAGUGAAAGACGGUUUUGCUGUCACUUAUAGAUGGAUCCGCGCCGCAUUAGCUAGGUGGUAAGGUAACGGCUUACCAAGGCAACGAUGCGUAGCCGACCUGAGAGGGUGAUCAGCCACACUGGAACUGAGACACGGUCCAGACUCCUACGGGAGGCAGCAGUAGGGAAUCUUCCGCAAUGGGCGAAAGCCUGACGGAGCAACGCCGCGUGAGUGAUGAAGGUCUUCGGAUCGUAAAACUCUGUUAUUAGGGAAGAACAAAUGUGUAAGUAACUAUGCACGUCUUGACGGUACCUAAUCAGAAAGCCACGGCUAACUACGUG
rnacentral:rRNA from 1 species